UACGUAGGGUGCAAGCGUUAUCCGGAAUUAUUGGGCGUAAAGCGUGCGCAGGCGGUUUUGUAAGUCUGUCGUGAAAGCCCCGGGCUCAACCUGGGAAUUGCGAUGGAGACUGCAAGGCUUGAAUCUGGCAGAGGGGGGUAGAAUUCCACGUGUAGCAGUGAAAUGCGUAGAGAUGUGGAGGAACACCGAUGGCGAAGGCAGCCCCCUGGGUCAAGAUUGACGCUCAUGCACGAAAGCGUGGGGAGCAAACAGG
rnacentral:rRNA from 1 species